AUUCUCCAUAGUUGGUGGGUCACCUCGGCUGUGAACUGCAUACCCCUAUCCGAUAUGAUCUCCUGGGGGAACCCCACUCGAGAGAAUACUUUCAUUAAGGCCUCGGCCACUGUCUUGGCGUGGAUAUUAGAGAGGGCUACUGCUUCGGGGUACCAGGUGGCGUAGUCUACUAUGGUCAAGAUAUAUCUCUUGCCGGAGGGACUGGGUUUUGUUAAGGGGCCUACUAUAUCUACAGUCACUCUACUAAAUGGUUCGUCUAUGAUGGGCAGUGGGCACCAGAACAAAUUCAAUAAGC